UUUAAAGCACAAGUCAACUUGCACAUGUCCUACGUAUGAUGCAUAAGAUAUGUUGAGCAAACUUGAUUUUGUACCAUAUGAACUUACAGGUAAAACCUAAUGGAUAUCACAAUCUAAAGCACGGCGAUUUAGAUGCUGGAUAAACUAUUGAUUAAAGGAAAUAUAGCGAGGUGUCCAAAAUUUAUUCGAUAACGGUCUUCCAUUAACGCGUUAAACGCGUCAUUUUUGUCAUUUUGUUCCUGGGAACCGACACUAAACUUUUUAUUUGUACACGGACUGCCACGGACGCGUUUUUUGUAUUAACACACAGCACCGCUUAAAGGCGAGAAUUCCUUUGUGCGUCCAAUGUACGGUACGUGUCCUGUGUCAAAAGCAGUCUUAAACCCAAGUCACACAAGCAACGCAAUCUCGCUGCGAUAUCGCAGCCGGCAUCCGUCGGGCACAUUUGUACCUUUACAAUGAAAAAGUAUGCUUUUGUUUUCGCAGUAUCUGAUUUAUCAUGUGAUUCGAAUUUGACUGCUCUUGGCGCAGAUGCGCGCAUUAAGCACACCUAGAACAUCCCGCCUUAAAUGGGAAGCAAAACAAAAUGAACUUCGUGUUUAAGAUAUUUAGAUAAUGACUGUAUAAAUUAUGCAGUUUAGAAACUUUAAAUUGCAUAAUUAACAAAGCACCAAUCUAUCCUCACUUUAUUUCUUCCGCUAUUCGAUUCAUUGAUCGUAUCGAUUUCUUAUUGAUAAAAUCUUAAAAGCUGUCGAGAAACAAUUUGAUAGCAGAACUAAUGUUAGCUUGAAAUAGUCUACUACGGAAGAUAGAAUGGAAGGGAAGAGAUGUCUUCGAAAGCAUUUUUUGAGCGAUUCGGUAUUUAUCGAAUGAUUAUACCUGUAACGAAGCUUCUUAUGGAAAUACUAUACAAUACGUUUAUCGACGAUAAAUCGCAAGCGUGUUCGUUGCUUAAUUCCAAUUACGUAAGGCUCGAUUUACACGAUAGCACCUUCUCGUUUUAUUUCACAAAUCUUUCCUUUUCGCGGAUGUCACUUUGAUUCUUUGGGCAAUGUCGAAAAACUCAAUUGGUUAAUUCUUGUCUGAAUCAAUAAUUUAACAUAUACAACAAUAAUAAUACUAUCAAUAACGAAAAAUGUUAUUAUUAUGCGGAAAUAGAUAGUUUUUAUGGAGGUUAAUCUAUUAAUUCUAAGGUUAAGCUCCAUCGUUCUACCAGUAUAAUAAAAGUAACAUGAAUUCGAGGUAUAAAUAGAUACAAAUCUAUUACUUUUAAUUAAAAUUAGUUAGUGUGAUCGUAUCGUUAAAUUCGAUUUUUCAAUCAAAGAUCAUAUUUUUCCAAAAAAUACCUCGAAUUUAACAAUACAUCUAACAUUUCUGAAUACAGACAUUGCAUCGCUACUUAUGUCGGACUUGUAUUAACAAUUCAUCGCACGCUCGUCUAUUUACUGAUUCUAGAAUAAAAUAAGUAAACAUACUAUUUCCUUGUGAUACAGUCUUAAAUUUGCCUCGUACUCUCGCUCUGUUCUCAUCUUAAAAUGUUUACGAACUAUACACAAUUUUUAUACAAUUAGGCAUAUUCGUUUGUUUAUCGUUUAUGUCUUUUUUUUUUUUUUGUUACUUUUACGUUAGAUGAUAAAUAUCAAACGAAUUUUCGCUUAUCAUCUGCAUACCGUACAUACUAACACGGAUUGGCUUUCGUUCUUAAGAACGUAAUUAUCCGCGUGAUAUGGUUCGCUUUGUUUAUUCAUAUUACUUUUUUUUUACUUUUGUUGUUUCUUUUUCUUGGUUUUAAAUGGUCCGUAAAUUUUGUGUUCGACGCAGCAGGUAGUGCGUGAUAAGGCCCUAAAUGUACAUUCAAAAAAUUCAUAAAAACUUUUCGGCAGUAAUGAUGAUAGACACGUGCGAAUCAUUUCAUAACAUCUCGCGUUUAUAGUACGUUUAUCAUACGCAGCUAUGCGAAAAUUGUGAACGUAUAUAGAUCAGUACGAGCCGCAUAACAUUCCAUUUAGGCAGACGAGCGAUUUGCGAUAGCGUAACCGCCGUGGUAAUUUCCUACUACGUUUAUGCGUCCAAUUUUUGCGUUAAUUUGCCGCCACGUUUUGCGUUCCCGUGUAAACUACUUCAUAUAAAUCUAUGCUAUUC